rnacentral:lncRNA from 1 species
CCCGCCCCAGCCGAGCCGAGCGGAGCCGAGCGCGCAGCCGGGCCGCCGCCGCCGCCGUCUCGUAGAUGCCAUCACAGCAACAAAGAGCUCGCUGAGCUGAGAGCCGCGACAAGAGCUCGCCUGGAAGCCCUCCACCGUGCCCGCUCCAGGAGCUGGGUGACAGCAGGAGGAAACGCUCCGGGGGUCUGGGGGAGGAGAGGGGACAGGAGAUGGCCAAGAAGAGAAAGCCCCCCAGCAUCAAGGACUCUGUUCUAAGCAACUCAACUUUGCACUGGUUCAGGUCUUCUGAAACAACAGCCUCUUAUCUUAAUGACUGACAAAGGUAACCACCUAGUCAAAUUAAGUCCUUCUUGAUGUAGAUGUUGGUGUAAAAUAUUAUUGUUCAAUGUUAAAUGAAGACAAAUAGAAAA